CAGUCGCCACGGGAAUACGAAGGGGGCUAGCGUUGCUCGGAAUCACUGGGCGUAAAGGGUGCGUAGGCGGGUCUUUAAGUCAGGGGUGAAAUCCUGGAGCUCAACUCCAGAACUGCCUUUGAUACUGAAGAUCUUGAGUUCGGGAGAGGUGAGUGGAACUGCGAGUGUAGAGGUGAAAUUCGUAGAUAUUCGCAAGAACACCAGUGGCGAAGGCGGCUCACUGGCCCGAUACUGACGCUGAGGCACGAAAGCGUGGGGAGCAAACAGGAUUAGAUACCCCAGUAGUCCCUGUCUCUUAUAC
rnacentral:rRNA from 1 species